AAUACACAAAAAAUAUAAUUAAAUUAAAAUAAAAUAAUUUACUAAAACUAGGGUGUUACAAUGAUGGUCAUAAAAGUCUAACUGAGUAAGAACUUUAACUUGGGCAUCAGGAAAUUGUAGCCUCCAAUACUCAUUACUGAGGCCUCGAUUCAGUCUUUCAUAUACUCUCUACCCUCCAUGACUUGUCUGGCCCCUCCAAGUAUACUUGUGACCAGUCGAGUCAAAAUCUAUCAAAUUACAACGGUUG
rnacentral:lncRNA from 1 species